rnacentral:rRNA from 1 species
AAUCUUGCGCAAUGGACGAAAGUCUGACGCAGCAACGCCGCGUGAGGGAUGACGGCCUUCGGGUUGUAAACCUCUUUUCUCAGGGAAGAUGAUGACGGUACCUGAAGAAUAAGCACCGGCUAACUACGUGCCAGCAGCCGCGGUAAUACGUAGGGUGCAAGCGUUAAUCGGAAUUACUGGGCGUAAAGCGUGCGCAGGCGGUUGUGCAAGACAGAUGUGAAAUCCCCGGGCUUAACCUGGGAACUGCAUUUGUGACUGUACGGCUGGAGUGCGGCAGAGGGGGAUGGAAUUCCGCGUGUAGCAGUGAAAUGCGUAGAUAUGCGGAGGAACACCGAUGGCGAAGGCAAUCCCCUGGGCCUGCACUGACGCUCAUGCACGAAAGCGUGGGGAGCAAGC